AGUGAUGAAGGCCGUCGGGUCGUAAAACUCUGUCCUCAAGGAAGAUAAUGACGGUACUUGAGGAGGAAGCCCCGGCUAACUACGUGCCAGCAGCCGCGGUAAUACGUAGGGGGCUAGCGUUAUCCGGCUUUACUGGGCGUAAAGGGUGCGUAGGCGGUCUUUCAAGUCAGGAGUGAAAGGCUACGGCUCAACCGUAGUAAGCUCUUGAAACUGGGAGACUUGAGUGCAGGAGAGGAGAGUGGAAUUCCUAGUGUAGCGGUGAAAUGCGUAGAUAUUAGGAGGAACACCAGUUGCGAAGGCGGCUCUCUGGACUGUAACUGACGCUGAGGCACGAAAGCGUGGGGAGCAAACAGGAUUAGAUACCCUG
rnacentral:rRNA from 1 species